rnacentral:tRNA from 1 species
AAAGUAGAAGUUUUUUAAAUAUUUGACCUGCAAUCAAAAGUUGAUAUAUAAUUUGUCCUACUUUA